rnacentral:tRNA from 1 species
UGCCCACCGGUAGGCAGGGGCGUUGGAUUCAAAAUCCAAUGUCCAUUAGGACGUGUGGGUUGGAGUCCCACCUUUG